UACGUAGGUCGCAAGCGUUGUCCGGAUUUACUGGGCGUAAAGGGCGCGUAGGCGGCCUUCUAAGUCGAACGUGAAAUCCCCGGGCUCAACCCGGGAACUGCGUCCGAUACUGGAAGGCUUGAAUUCGGGAGAGGGAUGCGGAAUUCCAGGUGUAGCGGUGAAAUGCGUAGAUAUCUGGAGGAACACCGGUGGCGAAGGCGGCAUCCUGGACCGGCAUUGACGCUGAGGCGCGAAAGCCAGGGGAGCAAACGGG
rnacentral:rRNA from 1 species